ACAGUCUGUGGAAACUCUACAGUGGCAACUCCAUCGUAAGCAAUAGUACAGUACUCGUCGGGUCCGAGAACGAUGCUCUCUAACCGAUAGUCCCAGCACAACACACUUUCCUGGAAUUUUAUGGCUUGUUCCACCUCUCCUCCGAUAUUGAUUCUUUGAUCGUAGAUCUCGGCAAAGGCUCCUUCGCCAUCACCUUCGAAGCAGUCCUUGUCGUGAACGUAAGUUACCUUGGCGGUUCCAUCAGGAAGGUUUUGAACUAAUACUGACUUGAGGUCCCGUCCCGAGGCUACUUGGCCCAAUCUGCUGGUGUUCAGGGUUUCUAAGUUGCCGGCGUCCAAGAGUUGGCAGGUCAAGGGUUCGCGAGCAGCAGAUUUGCCGUUCGAGUUGCAGUGUGGCAACGAGCAGAUGCGCAACUUUCCGUAUUCCGUAGAGAAGGCAUUGACCGUCAGGGUCAAGUGACGUUGAGCCACGACCUGAAAUGUGGAAUCUAGUCGCUGUAGUAAGGUCGAACAGUUGUUACUGAACCCCUGGAUUCGAAGGGUGAACAGACUUUAUUGUCCGAGAAGAUGUCAAAGCUGUCAUUGUAAGCGAUCACAGUGCUUAUGUCGGCAUCCUGAAUAUCGUUCCGAAUCUUUUCACCGAUUUCACGUGAAACGCAGGUCUGGUGAUUUACAACGAGGAACCGCCAGGUUUUGGUAGAACCAUCUGACUCGUAAGACCGAAGAAUUAUCUUAUCGUUGCCUAGGACUGAUACCUUAACAAAGCUGAGCCUCGAAACAAUGAUGCUCUUGAAAACUUGUGUAUCUGCAAGGCGUUGGCGGUGGCGAGCACGAGUAGGACAAACACGAGCUUCUGGCACAACAUGGCGAUGGUUUUCUGAAAAUAUUUUUGUUAAUGUCGAGCCUUUUGCAUGAAUUAGGCGACAGUACUGAUCGAGAAGCAGAAGUUCUCUACAGAUUUAUCUUGACCUUUAUUUUAUCAUUAUACUACAGUGUCGUGAGAAACUUGAAAAGAUAAGGAGGUUUAAGCCGUACAUACAGCUAUAAAAAAAGUUAUCUAUUUGGUGCAUAAACUUAUACAUAUGCACAGACAAUUGAGAAAAAUCAUACUUACAGUCGAUUUUUGCGAAAAUUUUUGAAAUUUUAUUGUUAUUUAUUCAAAUUGCGGUUAUCAAGCAAAAGAAGAAAAAAAGAUUUCCACAAUAGAGUUUUUUGUAGCUUAUUUAUAAAUUCCUCGGCACUUAAAAGACAGCCCACAACAUGUACACAGCUGCCCAGUCGCGAAUGAAAUGAGAUCAAGCACUUCCAGCGCCACGUUAUCGCAUUCUUGUUAUGUUUAGUACUUGCAAAAUUAGUAUUCUUUACUCACGACUUUUUAACAAGAAGAAAAUAUUUUAAAUACUGACUUAUCCAAAUUUUACAAAAAAUAUGUAUUUUUCUUUUCUUCGGCAAUGUUUUAUUACCUUUUUUUAAAAUGCAAUUAUAAAUAAAUUUAGGUUAUAAUAUAUUUUUUUACGACGUGUGCUCUAUUACUGUUAACGUAUGGUUUAUAGCUGUCUAAAAACAAUAGAAUCCGAUGUUUCAUUAGACAAAAAAUUAAUAAAAGGGAAAGUAAAAACAUGCGCUUAGUGCAUAACUUCGGUAUGAUUGUAUUAUCAAUUAUGUAAAACAAUUUUAAAUAAAUAUUGAUUUGGAACUUACCCCAAGCACUACAGCGGCAAGCGAUGCCAGUA
rnacentral:lncRNA from 12 species